rnacentral:sRNA from 1 species
UUCAUUCACAAACAUAGCGGCUGUGCAA